CAGGGCCGGUGCAAGGAUUUUUGCCGCCCUAGGCAAAAGAAAGAUUUGCCGCCCCCCCCCGCCGGGGCCUCGCAAUGCCCCACCCAUAUGAUCUGCCAUAUGAACUAGUGCCAGUGCUGCACACAGUGUGUGUGUUUACAUUAAAAAGCCUGCAGGGACAAACUAUAGAAACCAGAACAACUUUAUUAAGCUGCAGUGGUUCUGGGGACUAUAGUGUCCAUUUAUUGUGAGGUAAAUUAGAGAUUAGUGUCACUAAUAAUAUACUAGAUUGCCUACUUACAAUCAGAUGAGGAUGAUGAUGGGCUGUGGCUGCAGUCUGGCUCCACUGGUCUGGUGUAGAACAGGAUCUCUG